UUUAUGCCUAUGAAGUGAUAUCGUGGUGUCCAUAAAUGCAAGGUUUAAAUUAUGUGUAUUGUGAAUAAAGUUCAGUGACCUAUUCCCUAUCUCAACAUCCUUCCGGCAUCUAUGAAUAAAGUUCAGUGACCUAUUCCCUAUCUCAAAGAGCACAUACACAGUGAUAGGGUUAUUGGCCUAUUCCCUAUCUAGAAGAGCAAAUGGACAAUUACGGCUAUUUCAUCUUCUUCUUCACCAUACAAGAGGAUACCACCGUUGGCUCAACAUAUACUCACAAGAGGUGAUGCCACUUUGCGUUUGUAUCAAAAAAUCAGUAGGAGUUUACGGCUCGCAACAUUGAAACCAACCGUCAAAGAAAUGUAUUUGAUAUCUAUCUUCAGGUUUCAAUUAUGCAGUGGAUAUAUGGCUCAUGGAUAUGCAAAUCAUGGGUAUUUGACAUACAAAUCAUACGUUUAUAGUUUUGGAAUUAUUUCCUUGGAAAUUGUUAAUGGAAGGAGCCGCAUCAUUUAUUGGUCAAAGGAGGAAGUAUUGUAUCUUCUUCAUUAUGUAAUUUAAUGAUGUUCUUCCUUAGUCAUAUAAAUUUUAUUUUUCAUGGUAGUAUAUACAUACACUUAAAUAUUUUUCAUACACAGCUUAAUUGUAGUGUUCUCUGUCAUUUUUCUACCAUGCUUAUUUUUAAUAGAUUAAUACAAACACCACUUGU